rfam:Gossypium hirsutum cultivar TM-1 chromosome 21, whole genome shotgun sequence
UGUUAAAAAAAUCAUCCAUUCUUAUUGUUAAAAAUUGGUGUGACUGUUAGAACAACCAAACAAUUACACGUACCUUAUGGUGUACAUAGAUCGAUUUUUAAUAGUAAAAAUGGAUGAAAUUUUCAUCA